rnacentral:lncRNA from 1 species
AUGCAAAGGUACAUUUCAAAACACGCCGGACAAUAUUGGCUGGAAAAUGACUUGGUUAAAACCUGAUGAUCUUACCAGCAUUCUGCAGGUUGAUGAAUACUAAUGAAGCUGUGGAUGUCACUGAGCAGCUUCAUUUUAAAGGCUAGUGCUGCGAGAUUUACUUGUCUGUCUUAUGAAAAUCUGGUGAUUGGGAAAACCUCCAAUGGAUGUGGGAAGAAAGUUCAAGAUGAAUUACAUUUUUACAUUGGUUUGUAAAUAGAUUCUGAACCAGCAUCGAGUCUAGAUAAUGCAUCCAUAAGAGUCAAGGCAUUUCUGUUUGACCAUGACACUGCUGUAGAAUCAUAACCUGUUAAUCAGUGUAUUACUUUCUAACUAUUUUGAAUGGAAAAUUCUUUUCUAGUUAUCUAGCCUUGUAAUUAAAUAAUUUUGAAUAGCCUUUGGUUCUUUGUCUGAAUUGAGUUUAAAACUGUGUGAUUGUAAUUACACCAAGUUAAAGUGUGUACUCUUGCGGUGGAAUCUUCAGUCAGGUUUCUAGGGAGAGAUGAUUUGGUUUGGCAAGAAUAAGUAAUGUGCAAAACAUUAGCUUCAGAGUGUUGGGGUGAGAGCAAAGUGGGAAAGAUGGGACCUGUUAACAGUGAGGGAAGGUCACUGAUAAAAUCUGGGUUAAAACUGGUCAAGCAUUGUAUGGAAUGGGUUAGUGUCAAUAAUAGCAUCUAAUCUAACCAAGGUGGUUGGGCCCUGCUGCUCCUGCUAAGUCACUUCAGUCAUGUCCGACUCUGCGACCCCAUGGACAGCAGCCCAUCAGGCUCCUCUGUCCAUGGGAUUCUCUAGGCAAGAACACUGGAGUGGGUUGCCAUUUCCUUCUCCAGUUGGGCCCUAACCCUAAUCAUUUUCCCUAAAUAGCUGCAUGAAUAACCUGUUCGCAUAUUUAAAUGUUAAAGUCAGUGCUAAUAUAUCAUCGGAAUGAACUUUUGAAAUGUUAGCUUGCCUGCUGAAGUGAAGAGAUGGUUUGGGGCUCAUGUACCUCAGAUUCAUGAGACUGAGCCUAUAGUUGAAUGCCCAGACAGACAGGUUUCUUCUGAUAGCAGAUGACCUCCAUGUAUAGCUUUGUGUUAGUGUUAGCCCAUUUAUUAUGUCCAUUUGGAAAUGAGACUUUAGCACUGCAGUCAGCACCCCGAUCUCCCUUACUCUGCUUUAUUUGGAACUUAAGUAUGGUUUAUAAAAUUUGAGCACUGGCACCGCUGUACCUUAAGUAUCUAGACACCUGGCACUUGGUUGUCAAAUAAUGAAUGCUUAAUGACCCAUUGAGGGGGACUUUGCUGAUUGUUCAGUGGUUAAGACUGCUUCCAGUGUAGGGGCUGCUGGUAGGGUUGGUGAACCCACAUGCAGAGUGGCACACCCAAAAACCUAAAACAUUCAGGGAGAACUGUCCUUGUCAAAGUUGGCUAACAUGACUUCAAAACAAGGCAAACUUAUGAAUAAGACUUGGUUUUAGAGCACUUAAGGUUUCCCUUACAGCUAUUGCAAUGCAGGAGACCCUUUCCCUCCCAGUCAAUCUUAAGAUUCAAAUGAUGUACACAUUUUUUAUUGUACCAGUUGGAUCCCACUAAAAUGAGUUUGAUCCAAAUUAAGUCCAUUUGAGAGUAUAAAUAUUCAAUAAAAAUCUAAAACAUACAGUUGUGGAAGUUGGG